rnacentral:rRNA from 1 species
AUUGAACGCUGGCGGAAUGCUUUACACAUGCAAGUCGAACGAUGAACCUUAGCUUGCUAAGGGGAUUAGUGGCGAACGGGUGAGUAAUGUAUCGGAACGUAUCCAAUAAUGGGGGAUAACUAGUCGAAAGAUUAGCUAAUACCGCAUACGUCCUACGGGAGAAAGCUAGGGACCUUCGGGCCUGGCGUUAAUGGAGCGGCCGAUAUCUGAUUAGCGAGUUGGUGGGGUAAAGGCUCACCAAGGCGACGAUCAGUAGCUGGUCUGAGAGGACGACCAGCCACACUGGAACUGAGACACGGUCCAGACUCCUACGGGAGGCAGCAGUGGGGAAUUUUGGACAAUGGGCGAAAGCCUGAUCCAGCCAUUCCGCGUGAGUGAAGAAGGCCUUCGGGUUGUAAAGCUCUUUCGCAAGGGAAGAAAACUUAAGCUCUAACAUAGCUUGAGGUUGACGGUACCUUGAUAAGAAGCACCGGCUAACUACGUGCCAGCAGCCGCGGUAA